UUCAGUUGUAAUCAAACGCUGCCCUAAGCCC
rnacentral:piRNA from 1 species